GUGCAGUGUGGCGGUGGCGGCUGUGCCUCGGCCUGUGCAGCCUUCUCGUGGGGCAGGUGAAGGCGCCGAGCCCGAUGGAGCCGCUGGAGCAGAGUCGGCCGUUCGCGGUGCUGCGUGGGCAGAAUCUGGUGUUGAUGGGAACCAUUUUCAGCAUCCUGCUGGUGACCAUGAUCCUUAUGGCAUUUUGUGUCUACAAGCCCAUUCGGCGUCGAUGACGGCCGAGCAAGCAAGUUCUUCUACAAGCCUUUGGGAAAAGAAUAAGUUGUGUUGCACACGGGUCAGUGGAGAAGCUGGAACCUGAACUUUCCUGCUUGGAAAUGAUCUUUGGUCUGGACAGUUGGUAAAUUCUGAUUUAGAAAAAACACUUAGCAGCUAUUUUUUCCCUAACACUGUAAUGCAAAUAAUUGGCCACUGAGUCUGCUUCUAGUAUUUCUUUUUAUAUGUGGCUAUACUUGUUAAAAGUAAGACCUAAAGCUCAGUGUAAAGUUUAGUGUUAAGCUGGAGUGCUUAUGAAAAAGAAACACGGUAACCUUGUGACAUAAAAACCACAUUGGAAAGGACUAAUUGUUAAUGUUUGAAAAGAUUAACAGGAAUACUUAACAUAUAGACAGACAUGCCCUACUUAAGAACCAUCUGGUGACAAUUAGGUUAAGAAUCACAAAUGUUUUUAAUUAUACUGAGUUGGCCUAAAGUACUUUGCUUGCAAAGCAGUGUCCGCUGUGGGAAACUUAGGCCAUCACUCAUGCAGCAUCCAGCUCUGCACUCAGAUACCCUCACUGAAGUCGGGGUCACAUCAGGUAGGCCUAUGAUCAUGUGUACCCUUAGGCUGGAGGGCUCUGGGGGUGGAUUGGAAAUGUUUCUAGUUGGCCCAUCUGAAAAAGAACUCCUUCCUGCUCAAACGUACGAUCUCCCUUGUACUGCACUUAAAUCUUUCCAGCCCUUGGCCUAAAACUUGUGGUAGCUUUUCAGAUUUGGAAUCUAGCAGACUCAGCAGGAACUCCUUUCGGCCCUGGGUGAGGAGGACUCACUAUACCAGGCAGAGUGGCGGGUGUAUAUGUGUUUACACAAAUUUUAUUUCAACGUAGAAAAUGCUGCUAUUUGUUUGCACUGUUGGUGAACUGGAUACCCCCCACCACUGAAAUAUUUCAUACUUACAAAGUGGUUAUCAGUAUUUAUUUUAUUGUAAAGGUGCUAGGUUUAAUUUUAUUAUUAAACUGAAGUGCUUGUCUUGUGCUCCAUUCAAACACAGCACUGUUUUGUUUUGUUUUUUUAAACAACCUGCACUUAAUGUGAAAUAACUAAUGUGGGAUUCUGUAACUCUGACUUAAGGAUUUCGUUUGUAACCCUGACAUUGAGCCAUUCAAAUGUUAACUGUUCUGUGCUUUUCAGCAAAUGUCAAUUAAAAUUAAAGUAAAAUCUUA